rnacentral:RNase_P_RNA from 1 species
UGAGGUAGCCGGGUGGUCGCAUGCCUACGGGCAUGAGGAAAGUCCGAGCACCACAGGGCAGGGUGCCAGCUAACGGCUGGUGGAGGCGACUCCAAGGCAAGUGCAACAGAGAGAUACCGCCGGGCUUGUCCCGGCAAGGGUGGAAAGGUGUGGUAAGAGCGCACCGGCGGCCUGGCAACUUGACCGUCAUGUAAACCCCACCUGGUGCAAGAUAGAUGAGGGCGCAUGGGGCGGCCC